CUAGAAAAAUAAGUAAAACACUUAUUAUUUAAUUCUAAAAAUUAUUAUUAAUAAUAAUUUCUGUUGAUUAGUUCAACAGAUUCGACUUCGUCUCUUCAUUUUUUUUCUAUUAUUGCUUUAAAAAGCUUUUGUAGCUGUAGACUUUGCAAACUCGCUCGGAGAUCGUGAUCAAGUUGGCUGCUGCAAUUUCUUGCGCUCUCUGAGCCAUGUCAUGAUUCACUGAGCCAUUCCUUUCCCUGACUCGUUCAUAAGCUUGUUUAGCAGUGACUUUUCUAUAUUGAACAUUUUAUAUAGACUUACGUAUAUAGAAACUGCUUCAGUUUGGUGCUAUAACGCGUUGCGCGUACUUCAUUAAACUGUAAUCAAUUCAGCUCGUGAACUUUUAUUCAUACUUACAUACAUACAUGCAUAAAAAUAUAUUUCCUUAUGUUGUUAUCAUCCUGCUUAAAUUAUAAAUACAAAUCUUUUUAAAAUCUUUCGUGCCGCAAAAGAAUACAGUGAAAUUAAAGUUUGUGAAAAUUUAAUUGGAAAACAUGGAGCGCAAAAGAGUUAGCAAUAUUUUUAUAUUGUUGCUAUCUAUAAUAAUAUUUUCAGAAUAUUCUGCAGUACGUGUCUCAAACUCGCUGAACAAUCGUCAUAUAAAGGAAAAGGAGCGAUAUGCAAUUGCGCGAUAUACAUUCCAAGCGCAAGUGAAAAGGGAAUUUCGGGCUGAGAUCCGUUCGUCUAAAUCACCUGAACGACGGGAAAUACGGUUAGAAAGUUAUUGAGUACGCGAUACUCACGCCCUUUCGUCUGCGACACAUGAACAACGGGAAAGUCGUCGACAAAAUGUUCGAUCAAGAGUGGUUCGAUCUGCAUUUUAUUAUGACAGUAACAUUGACUACAGUCUUCAUACAAGUGUCGCCAUUGGAUAAAGUGUAUAAAAUUUGCACGUAUUGCAGCACACUCAAAUUAAAGAACGAAACCCCAGGAUGUGUUGCUCCAGUGAAAAAGUCAAACUAAAUUUGGAGAAUCCAUGCUUCUCACGGGCAUCUCUAUGUGGUCUGGUCACGAGUCGAAAAAUCUUCUAAUUUAUUCGUUUACGCACCUGACGGAAAAACAAGAAACAUUGUAUAUCCCAAAGCACUUUAAUAAAUGUUAAAUAGAAA